UACGAGUGCCUCAAGCGUUAUCCGGAAUCAUUGGGCGUAAAGGUUGUGUAGGUGGUUGUAUUAGUCUCUUGUUAAAUUCUUCGGCUUAACCGGGGGCAUGCAAGGGAAACGGUACGACUCGAGGAUGCGAGGGGUCUGCGGAACUCAUAGUGUAGCGGUAAAAUGCGUUGAUAUUAUGGGGAACACCAAAAGCGAAGGCAGCAGACUGGAGCACUCCUGACACUGAAACAAGAAAGCGUGGGUCGCGAAUGGG
rnacentral:rRNA from 1 species